GUGCGCGCCCCCCUCGCUCCGCUCAACCGCCCAGCGGUUUACUCAGCCAGCCAGGCCUGGGAAAAUCGGGGAGCGCUUCGUAGUUCAAGGUCUGGACCAGAAGUCCUCCCGGCAGCCACCGGGCCUCAUCUUCCUGGCGUGGGCGCCAUCUAGUGGCUGCCCCUGCGCAGAGCCGCCGCGCUCCGGCCGGGAGCAAAGGCUGCUGGGAAGAUGGUGGAGUAGGAGGACCCCGGGCUCAGCUCUUGACGCGUGGUCGCCUAGAAGCACCAACAUCGGCAUAAAUAACUCGGAAAGCAACCGGAUAGCUGGGAGAACGGACUUUCAGCGACCUGACAUAGACAAGAGGCCACAGCGAAGCAGAUAAGACCGGCGGAGAGAUCCAUCCUCUCUGAUCAGUCUUGGCAAGAUCCAUCAAAGCACCGCCACAAGCCUGACCGUUUGUGAGCAGCCUAGAGGAGGGCCAGCACCACUCCAGAGUCCUGCCCCGGAAGAGUGGAGGACAGCCACUCGCCAGUCAGCCUGCAGGCCCCGCCCACCACCAAACGCUUUUCAGGGGAUAACACAGGGAAAGUGCCUGCAGUUUGGGUUUACUUCAUCUCUGGUAGAUGCCUGGUCUGACUCAAGUCAAGCCCAAGGCGGCUCCUGACUGGCCCACCAACACCACCACGACCAGACUCUGCCCACAACAGGCAGCCAUCGCAGGCAGGACUGAAGGCAAACACAGCUCCACCACAACAGUAGGACACCCCUGGGGCAACACACGCAGGAGACACCCCUGAAGUGCCAGGUUCUGGGGAACAGGGGACAUUGCACUGCGGGACCUCUUCAUCAUAAAGCCACUACUUGCAAGUGCAGGAGACAUCGCUAACUUUCCUAACACAGAGAAACAGACACAGCAAUAUACAGAAUGAGAUACAGAGGAAUAUGUCCCAGAUGAAAGAACAGAAACAAAUCACAGCAAGAGACCUAAGCAAAAUGGAGAUAAGAAACAUGUCUGAUACUGAAUUUAAAGUACCGUUCGUAAAGAUCCUCACUGGAUUUGAGAAAGGAAUGCAGAACUUCCAUGAGACCCUCUACCAAGAGUUAGCAGUCUUAACGAAUUAAAGCCACUGGACUUACCGAAUGGAAAUAAAAAUAGACUACGUGGAAUAAAUAGCAAGCAAGAGAAGUAGAAGAAUGCAUCAGCCACAUGGAGGACAGGGUCUUGGAAAGUAAUCAAGCUAAGCAGAUGAGAGGGGAAAAAAAUACGCAAAAUGAGAAUAGACUCAGGGAACUCAGCGACACUGUCAAGCAUAACAGUUGCAUGACAGGGAUUCCAGAAGGAGGAGAAAGAGAAAGGGGGGCAGAUUUGUCUGAAGAAAGAAUAGCUAAGAACUUCCUGAAUCUGGGGAAGGUAGGAGAAAUCCAGAUCCAGGAGGCACAGAGAGUCCCCAGCAAAACCAACCCAAAGAGGACUGCACCAAGACACAAAGAAGAUGGCCAAAAGUAUUGUUAAAGAGAGAUUUUUUUAAAAAAGAUUUUAUUUAUUCAUUUGACAGAGAUCACAAGUAGGCAGAGAGGCAGGCAGAGAGAGAGGAGGAAGCAGGCUCCCCGCUGAGCAGAGAACGAGAUGAUUGGGACCCUGGGAUCAGGACCUGAGCCUAAGGCAGAGGCUUUAACCCACUAAGCCACCACCCAGGCGCCCGAUAAAGAGAGAAUUUUAAAAGGAGCAAGAGAAAGGAAAGCAGUGAUAUACAAGAGAAACCCCAUACAGCUAUCAGUGGCUUUUUCAGCAGAAACUCUGCAGGCCAGAAGAAAGUGGCAUGAUAAAUUCCAAUGGCUGAGAGGAGAAAAUCUAGAGCCAAGAAUACUCUAUCCAGCAAGGCUUUCAUUUAGAAUAGAAGGAGAGGUGGAGUCAGAAAAAAGAGAAGUUAAAAGCAAAACCAGCCAAGUUCCUGUCACCCGGGAUGCCAUCGGCCUGUGGGUCCCAAAUUCACAGUCCAGCUGCUCUCCUGCCCGAGCGAGCGUGCCAUGGCCUGCCACCUGCUCAGUGCCAAGUCAACACGCCUUCACCACAGACUGACGAGGACUCAAACUGACACUCUUCCCCUCAAAUUUCAGCCCCUGUACUCAAGUUUGUGCGCAAAAGUGGGCAUAAUUAUAACAGUAGGACGAAGUAUCCCCAACAGUGACACUAAUUCUGUGGAAUAUUAUCACGGAUAAAAGGAGUGUGCUAGGCUGAGAACAUCUCCAACAUUCACAUCAAAGAACAUACAGCAUGAGGCUAAUUACUAAAAGAAUCCCAAGAAAAAUAAAACCGGAUGAAAUCAGAGAGGGAGA